CCUACGGGGUGCUGCAGUAGGGAAUCUUUCACAAUGGGCGAAAGCCUGAUGGAGCAACGCCGCGUGCAGGAUGAAGGCCUUCGGGUUGUAAACUGCUUUUAUAAGCGAGAAAUAUGAUGGUAACUUAUGAAUAAGGAUCGGCUAACUACGUGUCAGCAGCCGCGGUCAUACGUAGGAUCCGAGCAUUAUCCGGAGUGACUGGGUGUAAAGAGUUGCGUAGGUGGCAUAAUAAGUAGCUAGUGAAAUCUGGUGGCUCAACCAUUCAGACUAUUAGCUAAACUGUUAAGCUCGAGACCGUUAGGGGUAACUGGAAUUGCUAGUGUAGGAGUGAAAUCCGUAGAUAUUAGAAGGAAUACCAAUAGCGUAGGCAGGUUGCUGGGACGGUUCUGACACUAAGGCACGAAAGCGUAGGGAGCAAACGGGAUUAGAUACCCUGGUAGUC
rnacentral:rRNA from 1 species